UGUGAAGUUCAAAAGUUCAUACUGAAAUUUGCAAGCCGGUUUGUAAACAAAGCUUGUGAUUGGCUUAUAUUUGUUGUUCGGAGACCAAUCAGAGGCUUUGUUUACAAACCGGCUUGUAAAUUUCAGUAUGAACUUUUGAACUUCA